GACGAACGCUGGCGGCGUGCUUAACACAUGCAAGUCGUACGGUAAGGCCCUUUCGGGGGUACACGAGUGGCGCACGGGUGAGUAACACGUGAGUAACCUGCCCACAACUUUGGGAUAACGCUAGGAAACUGGUGCUAAUACUGGAUAUGUGCUCCUGCUGCAUGGUGGGGGUUGGAAAGCUCCGGCGGUUGUGGAUGGACUCGCGGCCUAUCAGCUUGUUGGUGGGGUAGUGGCCUACCAAGGCGGCGACGGGUAGCCGGCCUGAGAGGGUGACCGGCCACAUUGGGACCGAGGGACGGCCCAGACGCGGACGGGAGGCAGCAGUGGGGAAGAUUGAACAAUGGGCGCCAGCCUGAUGCAGCAGCGCCGCGUGCGGGAUGACGGUCUUCGGGGUGUAAAACGCUUUCAGCAGGGACGAAGCUUUUUGUGACGGUACCUGCAGAAGAAGCACCGGCUAACUACGUG
rnacentral:rRNA from 1 species